UCUCCGUAGGUGAACCUGCGGAGGGAUCAUUACCGAGCUCAUGCCCUUACGGGUAGAUCUCCCACCCUGUGUUAUUAUUACCUUUGUUGCUUUGGCGGGCCGCCAGGCUCCGGUCGGGCUAUCGGCUUCGGCUGGUAAGCGCCCGCCAGAGGACCCUAUAUUCUGAUUAUUAGUGUCGUCUGAGUACUAUAUAAUAGUUAAAACUUUCAACAACGGAUCUCUUGGUUCUG
rnacentral:misc_RNA from 1 species